AACGAACGCUGGCGGCAGGCUUAACACAUGCCAGUCGAACGCCCCGCCAGGGGAGUGGCAGACGGGUGAGUACCGCGUGGGAACAUACCCUUUUCUACGGAAUAGCUCUGGGAAACUGGAAUUAAUACCGUAUACGCCCUACGGGGGAAAGAUUUAUCGGGGAAGGAUUGGCCCGCGUUGGAUUAGCUAGUUGGUGGGGUAAAGGCCUACCAAGGCGACGAUCCAUAGCUGGUCUGAGAGGAUGAUCAGCCACAUUGGGACUGAGACACGGCCCAAACUCCUACGGGAGGCAGCAGUGGGGAAUAUUGGACAAUGGGCGCAAGCCUGAUCCAGCCAUGCCGCGUGAGUGAUGAAGGCCUUAGGGUUGUAAAGCUCUUUCACCGAUGAAGAUAAUGACGGUAGUCGGAGAAGAAGCCCCGGCUAACUUCGUG
rnacentral:rRNA from 1 species